CUCCCUGUCCAACUCUCCAGUCUGUCCAGGUCUUGUUGAAUGGUAGUACAGCCUU
rnacentral:miRNA from 7 species